UACAGAGGUCCCAAGCGUUAUCCGGAUUCACUGGGUUUAAAGGGUGCGUAGGCGGGGAAGUAAGUCCGUGGUGAAAUCUCUGAGCUUAACUCAGAAACUGCCGUGGAUACUAUUUGCCUUGAAUAUUGUGGAGGUGAGCGGAAUAUGUCAUGUAGCGGUGAAAUGCUUAGAUAUGACAUAGAACACCAAUUGCGAAGGCAGCUCACUACACAAUGAUUGACGCUGAGGCACGAAAGCGUGGGGAUCAAACAGG
rnacentral:rRNA from 1 species